GGGUAUUCGCUUUUUAAAUUGGAGUAUAUUUGUAAAUAUAAUUUUUGCGGUUAAAUCGCUGAACUUUAAUGAGAAACCUCCCCCAAUCCACUUAACAAAAUAUGAUAGUGUGUAUUUAAAUUCCACCCGCAGGCUUUGAACUUGAAGUUCUGGUGCAUAAGCUGUUUUUGCACAAUUCUCUUACACUGGUUCAAAAGUUGAAAUAGCAGUGCCCCAAAUCAUUCUAUUUUGUUUGUAAAUUUACUACAUGAAAAUUGGAAACUGGGACUGCGGGAUCUCUGCCUAGGGUAAAGCCAACGAAAUAUUGUGGGAAAAUUGACUCCAUAACACUAUGGGAUGUACUGGCUAGGAGACAAGACUUAUGGCAGAAUGACAAAUAAAAUCAUUGAAAAUAAUCCUUACUUCAAGUGAUCAUGCAUAUGACAGAUGGAGGCAGAGUAUGUAUAACGUAUUUGUUGACCAAUUAUCUGUGCUGCGAAUUUUUGUGAAUCUGAAAAAUUGUCAAGAAUAUUUCGUAGCAGCUAAUCAUAAACUUUUACCAUCUAUUUGUGGAUGUGUGCUAUAGUUUCUCAGUUAAGUUGAAGGGAAGAUAACCUUGCCGGAGAAUUGCAGAGGACAGUUUAUGUGGUUUACUUGCUAGUUCAGCAAUGAAUACUGUGAAAAUCAAGUAAAAGGAUGGGAAAUGGUUUGUUGACUGAUUAUAAAGGAACUUGUAUUGUAAAAUGAUGUUGUUAAUAGCAUCGAUGAUAUUUUUGAUCGUCUCCAAAAUAUGGAUUUUUGUAGACAGAAGUUGUAAUUCUAAGAAACUCUUUGAACUAAGUACUAUUCUAUCCUUGCAUUUCUCAGUAGUUUCUUUAUGUUAUAUGCAUUUGAUAAAACUGUUCUCUCCUUCUUUCCUUCCAGGUUGCACAAAGGUUUUUUCCCGUUGAUGCGCAAAGGUUGAAUAACUUGGAAUCUGUCUCCCACUUCACUGAAAAAUAGAAGAAAGAAAAACUACAGUACAAGUUUUAACAGCUUAGACCACGGGUAGAGCUGAAAAUUCCAAAUGCUAAUUGUGUCAAGGUGCACAUGACAAACAUUUAGCCUUUUUUUUUGCAAAAGCUAUUUGUUGUCUCCGUUUGUUUUUGAAGUACUCUUUUUCGUUUGAACUCGAUAAUUCCAUUCAAAGUGUCAGUUGCUGACGGCUAUUUCAGGAACUGUCGUUAUGGUCCACAGAUUACACGAUUUUCGUACUCAUUAGAAACAGAUAAGUUCCAUCCCGUUCGUUGACAAAAAUAGGAAAGCUGGAUCUUUUUAAUUUUUAUGAAAAUAAAGCAAAGUCAUCUAUCACCCUUUUCAAGUGACAAAAGGGUAAUGAUACUCAUUAGAAGAUUUAUUCUGUCUUGCAGAGACUAGGCAGAUGGAAUACUCCAUAUGUUUUCUAUCGAAGGAGUUUCACUUAAAUAAGAAGAUGGAUCACAGUCAAGGAAUGAACAUAUAAAUGGCAGGGGAUCUUGGAAAGCAUUAAUGAGAGAUCAACUGAUCUAAGGAUCUGAGCUUCCAUGGUUAACAUCAGCAGCUGCUCAAGACUUCAUAAUUGCAAGCUUUCAUGUUCUACUUAAAUAGAUAAUCUGUAUCUUUACUGACCUGAAAAACAAUGUUGUGCUGACAGUAUGGACCUGAGAAUGAAAUUGGUCCGACAAGGAAUACAUAUUGAGAUGGAACGAUCAUCGUUGAAGCUUCCACUUUACAAGCAGCUGCCCAUGCAUCUUGAAAUGCCUGUUUUUGAAUCACAAGAAUUAAAGAUUUCAUGGUUAGUAAAGUAAAUAUAUGCAUUUUUCACCUUCUAUUUUAUUUUUGAAAUCAGGUUACUAAUAUGUACUAUCAGAUAUUCAUAACAUAUUCAGUUGUAAGUUAGUGUGAACUACCCUAACGAGAAUCAUUUUAGUGGGAGCCACCUCAUUUUUCUCUAUGACUCUGCUUGCAGUUCUGUCUUAUCUUAUUUGUAUUUUUUUUUUUCCUAUUAUAUAUUUCUGUAUCCCCAAAGUUAGUUCAUUAAUAAUACAGAAAUCGAAUUAUCACAGUUA